UUUUCAGUUCCUUCAAUAGUUAUUAGAGCAGCUCGAGUAUUUUUAUUGUUUUAUUUUUUAAUAUAAAUUUCCAGAUUAAUUCAUGCAUAGAAGAGGCAAUGGUUUGGAAAACUACAUUACAUUUAGUAGAAAUAAAAGGUCAACGUCGCGAUGAAGGAGGCGAACCUCCUCCUGAAUGUGAGACAAACCUACACGUUGUCUGUUUUUUUAAAGAUUUUAAACAUACCCGCUGUGUUUAAACAGCGCCGUUUAUAAAGCAUCACCUCUGAAUUAUUAUCCAGCGCGUGCUCGUCACUAAUGAAUAUGUUUCUCGCUCUGUAUUUAGUUAUUCCGUGUCUGAAUGGGUCCGUCUCUGCCUCUUUUUCCUGCCACUGUAUCUAAAACAGUGCAUUAACAUCUGCAGCCCAUUUAGUGCUGCUGACACCAGGCUAAUAACAGUGUGUGUGUGUGUGUGUGUGUGUGUGUGUGUGUGUGUGUGUGUGUGUGUGUGUGUUAGCGCGUAGCUUAAGCACCAGCCAACAAGCACAGCUGAAAGGUGUCACCGAGGCUCCUACGCCUCCUCUAACAGUUACUGAUUCAGGGGGCGCUUGUUGUUUUUUUUUCCGUCUUCUUCUUCUUCUGUUUUUUUGUUUUUGUUUUUUUGUUGUCUGUGUGUGUGUGUGUGUGUGUGCGGCCUCAAGCUGCCGGCUUUAAAGGAACAUCCUUUUUUAGAAAAAUGCCGCAUGUGUUCGACAUCCAGUCGGUUGUUGUUUCCAGCGUGCUUCAGUGGCUGUAAUGGCCGAGUUAUUAGAGGUAAUCAAAACGCCUCAGAAGAGGUCGACGUCCGCCAACACCUGAGGGACUAGUUUCUCAUAUCUGGAGGUGAAGUGAUGGAGCUGAUCGGUGCAUGCAGAUGGAGAGGAGGGGGUGGGCGUUAAAUACAAAAAAAAUUAAUAACAAAAAAGACCCCUCGCCUAUUCUCCCGCUCUCUCUCUUUCCCCGCAUUGUUAUUUGUCCAUUUCAAAUUAUUGAUCUUUUACAAAUAUUUUUCAAGGUAUCUUAAUUACUCGCAAAAGAAGCGGCGCCUUGGCCGGCGGACAACACAAAUAAGUUAAUUUGCAUUUCUGUGUUGUGAGUGUUUUGGCAGGCGCCGCGCCGGUCCAGAUUGUAACCCCUAUUUCUGCCUCCAAAAACCUGCCUUGGAGGAGCGUCCACGGAGGGAUUAGGGAUUUAGUGGGGAAGGUAAGUGUGACUACAAGCUUUGGCUCGCCAUCUGCUCCCCAGCAGAGUUGAGGCCAACCUGUGCAGCCUGCAGCAAAGACCUGGGCACUGUGCUAACUCUGGUUUGAGCCAACCUGGCGCCCGCGGCCCCAAUCACCAACAGUCUGCUGAUUAGUUGUAAGAAGCACUCCAUAUGUAGCAAAGUUUUUUUUUCUCUGUCUCCUUCCCUUCCUUCCUCUCCUCCUUAUGUAUUCUCUCGCCGCAUUAAAUAAAUAUGGAUGUAUGGACUUUUUUUUUUUUUUUUUUUUAGCACAUGGCAGAUCGCCUUCGGUUGUCUGGCAGGGCGAAAACAAGCCUGUUCUCCUAGCUCUUCCUCCCUCUCACCUCUGACAGAAUACCAAGCCAGGGAAGAGAAAGAAGAUGAAGAAGAAGAAAUCCUGGCUGUCCUCCUCUCUUCUUCUCCUUCCCUCCCUUGCUCUCGCUUGCCUGGCAGCGCCGGGAGACAGAUGACAAGGGUUUGUGGCCGUCUGAUCACCCCUGGAGAUCUGACCGGAGGAGCUGCAGGUGCUUCACAUCCACUUUUACCACCAGAUAUCAGCCGAGCUGUCAGACGCUGCUGAGGUAAGACUCGACUCUCUGCUGUCUCCUUUUCGGGUUGAAGCUCCUGCAGGCCUCGGUCACGUCAGCUCCGUGACAUCAAAGUGACCGUGACAGCGCAGCAAACCGGCCGUGACGGGCGCCUUUUUUGUCUUUUCCGUGGUCAGGUCCGCAUCGUCUGGCCCGUGGACGACUGUAAUUGCGCCGACAGGUGACACAUCUGUGGAAACCAAGAAGAUGAUGCGGGGGGAGAUCAUGUGACCUGCACAUCACGAGCCUCCUCCGAGUACGGUCUGUGGAUGAAUAUUUAGAGCUCACGCCCCGGAGAGAAACUGCCCGUGUUAUCGAGAGUUCAAGGUCGCCGUGCGGCUAUUUCCAGCUCGUCUUCGCUUUGAUCCGUGUCGCAAAAUGACAAGGUAACGCAACUCGGGGGGUCAGCUGUGUUACAGGAAUGCUUCCACGGAUCGGGAAAGAGAAAAUCAAUCCUGCCUGACAGUGUCUUCAGGAUACUCCGACCUGACUGGACGAUGACAACUACACACACACACGCACACAGAAGAUGGUGUAUACACAUGCAUAGAUAAACACUUGAACUCACACUAACAUUCACACACGUACACAAACAAACACUUGUAGUGCACACAAACACAAGCCGCGACCAAAUAUAGCGCAUGCACACACUCCAGCUGUCUCUGCGUCUGACACGGACGACCUCUGUCAGCUCCGGGUUUCGCCUGUCGUCUCGUCAAGGUGCAUCAGAGAGACAAGGUGUCGGCCAAAAAGUUCAUCGACGGCUAACCGCUUCUGAAAAGUUCGGCGCCGCACAAAAUGUUUCGAGGGACGAGAGAAAGAUGAAGUGGUCACAGACGACCCUUUAACGUCUGUGAUGAUGGAUGUCAAACAUGGUGUAAAAAAUUAAAAUACAGUUUUACCUCCACAAGUUAACACCUCAUUUUAGUUCAUAACUAAUGGAUGUAUGCGACCUACUGAACCCAAAUAUCACAAGAAAACUUUAAAUUACGUUCCACCACAUCCUUGUUCGGCCCUCAUCAGGUGGUCGACCACAAACGGAGUUCGACGGCACCAUCGACCGCGUGCUGGAGGAAUUUGAGGUGGAGCUGGUGUGUCUGGCUGGAUUCAUGAGGAUCCUCACAGGGAUGUUUGUCAGGAAAUGGAUGUGUGGUGUGUGAAUACUAACCAUGUUCACCAUCUGAUGGGUCAAAAGAAGGUCGUUCAAGGGCGUGAACGCACAGAAGCAGGCUCUGCAGGCUGGGGUGCGGGUUGCAAGCUGCACAGUCCACUUCGGAGCAGAGAUGGUGCCGGUACUGGGCGGCGACACGGAGGAGAGCCUGUCAGAGAGGAUCAGAGAGGCCGAGCACCGAGCCUUCCCCGCCGCCAUGGAGCUGGUUGCGGCAACGUCGGCCUGGCAGAUAACGGACGUGUCACAUGGAAGUCGAAGACACACUAACAAAGCAGAAAACACAUUUACUGUCACCCUGUAGAGUUUGGUAGAUAAAAUAACAUUUCAACUUCCUGUGUAAAGAAACGACACAAUUUGAAACAUUCCAAUGUUACCUUGUGAAAAUUAAUGAACGUCUGUAUAUUGAAAGUGUUAUUUCAUGAUUAAAUCUUCCUGGAUAUGUAGGUAGGUUGGUUCAUAUGAAUGUAUGUAGGUAUGUUCGUACGAAUGUAUGUAUGUAUGUACAAAUGUAUGUAUAUUCAUAUGAAUGAAUGAAUGUAUGUUCGAAUGAAUGUAUGCUCAUGUUUGUAUGUGUGUAUGUAGAGAGAGAGACUCAAAAUCUGUUAAGCAGGUCGUCCUGCUCCAGGGGUUGGAUUGGAUCCAAACGAAAGACAGGUGAUCAAAUAUGUGGCCCUGUAGCUCAGUUUGGUAGACCGCCGCUUGUAAGCUGUGAAGUUGUGAGUUGGAAUGUUAUGAGGUGCAGUCGGUUUUGAAGGCUGCGUCCAAAAGGAAGAGUGUCAACUCAGAGAAAACACAUCUCCACCUGUGUGGGCCGAUAGCGCAGACUGGUAGAGCGCCGCCUGUAACCUGCCCAAAUGCUCAGAGGUCAUGGAAGGACUGAGGUCUGAGUUCAAUCCCUUAAAUCUAAAAGGCUGUAUCCAAACGGGUUGGAUUGGAUCCAAAAGAAAGAGUGGAAGCUAGAGGUGAUUAUCUGUGUUGACCUUUAGCUCAGUUUGGUAGAGCGCCGCCUGAAAGUAAGCGCUGAAGUCGUGGGUUCGAAUCUUACGAGGUGCAGUUCGUUUUGAGGUCUACGUCCAAAAGGAAGAGUGUAAACUCCGAGAAAAAACAUCUCCACGUAUGUGGGCCGAUAGCGCAGAUUGGUAGAGCGCCGACUGUAAGCGGUGAAGUCGUGGGUUCGAAUCUUACGCGGUGCAGUUCGUUUUGAGGUCUGCGUCCAAAAGGAAGAGUGUAAACUCCGAGAAAAAACAUCUCUGCCUGUGUAGACUGAUAGCGCAGAUUGGUAGAGCGCCGCCUGUAAAUGGUGAAGUCGUGGGUUCGAAUCUUAUGAGGUGCAGUGGCUUUUGAGGGCUGCGUCUGAAAGGAAGAGUGUAAACUGCGAGAAAAAACAUUUCUGCCUGUGUGGACAGAUAGCUCAGAUUGGUAGAGCGCCGCUUGGAGCUUCUGGAGUUGUGGGUUCGAAUCUUAUGAGGUGCAGUCGGUUUUGAAGGCCAACACCCAAAGUUUAGACUUAAGAGCGCUCACAGUGAAGGUCUGACAGCAAAGGGUAUCUGGUGGCGUAGUGGAUUCGUUUCCGAACCGAAAGGCGCAAGUGGUGAAAGCGCUGGUUCGAAUCCCAGUCGGUACCUGGAGUUGGGUGGCAGUGGAGGGACGGGGAGGGGGGUGGUCCCUCCCCUGUUUCCAGAGAGGUAUAAAUAGGGGGUUAUACUACUCAACAGCACGUCUGGCUGACAGUUUACUGAGGCGGGG